rnacentral:rRNA from 1 species
GAUGAACGCUGGCGGCGUGCCUAAUACAUGCAAGUCGAACGGGGAGUACUUACUUCGGUUUUUACUCCUAGUGGCGAACGGGUGAGUAACGCGUUGGUGACCUGCCCCGAAGCGGGGGAUAACAGUUCGAAAGGACUGCUAAUACCCCAUGUGGUCGUACUGGUUAGAGGCUGUACGACUAAAGGAGUAAUCCACUUCGGGAGGGGCCUGCGUCCCAUCAGCUAGUUAGUAAGGUAACGGCCUACCAAGGCGAUGACGGGUAGGGGACCUGAGAGGGUGGUCCCCCACACUGGCACUGAAACACGGGCCAGACAUCUACGGAUGGCAGCAGUAGGGAAUAUUGCACAAUGGGCGAAAGCCUGAUGCAGCAACGCCGCGUGCGCGAAGAAGGCCUUCGGGUUGUAAAGCGCUUUUCUGGAGGAAGAGGAAGGACGGUACUCCAGGUAUAAGGAUCGGCUAACUACGUGCCAGCAGCCGCGGUAACACGUAGGAUCCGAGCGUUAUCCGAAUUUACUGGGCGUAAAGCGCGUGUAGGCGGUCGGGUAAGUUGGACGUGAAAGCUCCUGGCUCAACUAGGAGAGGUCGUUCAAAACUGCCUGGCUAGAGGGCGACAGAGGGAGGUGGAAUUCCCGGUGUAGUGGUGAAAUGCGUAGAUAUCGGGAGGAACACCAGUGGCGAAGGCGGCCUCCUGGGUCGCACCUGACGCUCAGACGCGAAAGCUAGGGUAGCAAACGGGAUUAGAUACCCCGGUAGUCCUAGCUGUAAACGAUGUGGACUUGGCGUUGGUGGGGUUAAAUCCAUCAGUGCCGUAGCUAACGCGAUAAGUCCACCGCCUGGGGACUACGGUCGCAAGAUUAAAACUCAAAGGAAUUGGCGGGGGCCCGCACAAGCAGCGGAGCGUGUGGUUUAAUUCGAUGCUACACGAAGAACCUUACCCGGGUUUGACAUCCAGGUGGUAGGGAACCGAAAGGCGACCGACCCUUCGGGGAGCCUGGACAGGUGCUGCAUGGCUGUCGUCAGCUCGUGUCGUGAGAUGUCCGGUUAAGUCCGGUAACGAGCGCAACCCUUGCUGUAUGUUAUACGUGUCAUACAGGACUGCCGGUUUAGAACCGGAGGAAGGCGGGGAUGACGUCAAGUCAGCAUGGCCUUUAUAUCCGGGGCUACACACACGCUACAAUGGCCAGCACAACAGGUUGCAAAACCGCGAGGUGGAGCCAAUCCCCAAAGCUGGCCUCAGUUCAGAUUGCAGGCUGCAACUCGCCUGCAUGAAGUCGGAGUUGCUAGUAACCGCGCGUCAGCUAUAGUGCGGUGAAUACGUUCUCGGGCCUUGCACACACCGCCCGUCACGUCAUGGAAGCUGACAACACCUGAAGCCGGUAUCCCAACCGCAAGGAGGGAGCUGUCGAAGGUGGGGUUGGUGACUGGGACG